CGCUAAUGUGGGAGGGCUCUCAGAAACAGGCUCUUUAGUUAGGACAGUACCAUUCCCCAGAGCUUGGUCGGUGGCUCUGCAUUCAGCAUCAGAAUCCCUCUGCUCUCUUCCAGGCUCCCUGCAGGUGGGGCACCAGGAAGAAGCUGAAGCCCACCGGACUCCCUAGCCAGCGUGACAACUACAUCCACAAUGCAACUCUGCUCCCAUCAUGCCACCAACAAAGACAUUUCCGGUUAUCACAGCAUCUGCGGGUGAAACUCGAGGCUGUCCGAGGUAAUCAAUCCUGGGCAAGGCUUCGAAUGUCAGUCUCAAGUACAGAGAUCAGAGGACAAUGUGUGGGAACUGGCAUUCUCUCGUUUCUACAUGCGGGCCCCAGGAAUGAAACUCAUCUGUCAGACUCGUCAGCAAGCACCCUGACCCACUAAACCACCUCACUGGAAUCUCCUCGCCUUACAAACAAGAAGCAAAACCAGUCACCCUGCCUAGCACCACAUACCUGGUUAAAGGGUGGAACCGGGCUGUGAGAGCCUGUGCUCAUCAGCUGCAUCCUUCCUGUGGACAGUUUAUUCCUUCCCUCCAUGUCUGGAUACAAAUACAACUCAAGUGUUGCAGGUACCUCUCUUGGCCUUCUAACUACCUACACCUUCCUGUCCCUCUCCUUGGCACUCAUGUCGCCUGGAGGCGUGCUCUCGUUCCCUCAGUUGGCAGGAAGCCAUCGGGAGUCUGGGCCGGCUAGACGACCGCUUGUGAACUCUUGCAGACUCCAUUUGGGGAGACUUAAAUGUGGGGACUGGUGAUCAUGUUUUAUAAAAAUCCUUUGUAAAUCUG